rnacentral:rRNA from 1 species
UACGGGGGGGGCAAGCGUUGUUCGGAAUUACUGGGCGUAAAGGGUCUGUAGGUGGCCAACUAAGUCAGACGUGAAAUCCCUCAGCUUAACUGGGGAACUGCGUCUGAUACUGGUUGGCUUGAGUGCAGGAGAGGAAUGCGGAAUUCCAGGUGUAGCGGUGAAAUGCGUAGAUAUCUGGAGGAACACCUGCGGCGAAGGCGGGUUGCUGGGCUGACACUGACGCUGAGGCGCGAAAGCUAGGGGAGCGAACGGG